CACACACACACACACACACACACGGCAAGAAUCCAUCUUUAAAAAAAUAUACAGACACACAGUGAAAGGAUACAAAGUAAAAUCAACAAGAAAAAUAGCACUUGGUGCAAUUUCUGAAAGAAACUAGGCACAAGUUUCUGAGAGUCCUUUCCCAAUGUUGUCACAUGUGAUGUGCUUAAUUCUUGCAGUGGUGAAUUGUGACAACACAUGUGAAAUCUUGUCUGCCAGAGAAGCUCAUUAAAAACUCAGUGCCCAGGGUUUUUCUUGGACAUUGGUCAUAUAGGCACCAUUUGCCUACCACAAACUAAAAUUCCAGACUCCCAGAAGGAAAACAAGUGUUCAGCAAAACCAUGUUGUUUAGGCCUGGUGUGAGCCACUGCGCCUGGCCACAGAUAGACUCUUUAGAGAAUUAACACUUUGCCUUUUAUGACUUUAUACACCUGUGUAAUGAAUAAUGUUGACAGAUUACUGUUUUUGCUUCUCAUACUAGUUCUUCAUUGGAUACUUAUGAAUUAUCAC
rnacentral:lncRNA from 10 species